UUUUUUUCUCUUUUACUUUUUUUAAUGUGUUCGAUUUUUUUUUCUAUUUUUCAAAUAUUAGUAUAUGUUUCUCCAAAAUGUUAGAAUACGAAAUCUGUAUCAAACACAUUUUAUGAAAGUCAGUAACCAACACUUUACAUUAGACUAAAUGGAUGGAUCAAUAAGAGAAAUAUUUUUUAAAAAAAUUCAUUGAAUAGUCCGUGUAUUCUGAAAUGUAUCGUAAAUGAGAUAUAAUAAUUAUUUAAAAAAUUUUAAGAAAUUAAAUUUCUCUUAUAAAUAGG
rnacentral:lncRNA from 1 species